rnacentral:SRP_RNA from 1 species
GCCAGGCUUAGUGGUGUUAGCCUGUAGUCCCAGCUACUUCGGAGGCUGAGGCAGGAGGAUCCCUUGAGCCCAGGAAUUCAAGGCUGCAGUGAGCUAUGAUCACACCACUGCACUCCAGCCUGGGAUACAGAGCAAGACUCUGUCUCUU